CUUAAAAGUACUUUUAAGAUGAGUUAUUUUAUGACCGAUCUUAAAAGGGUCAUAAAAUAAUCGAUCUUAAAAGUACUUUUAAG
rnacentral:miRNA from 1 species